UUAAAAACUCAGGCUGAUCGCCAGCCAUAUUUUUGCAGCUGACAGAUACUGCUAACUGACGUUCAUUCAAAUAACAUGUGUUGGCAACGUUUGCAAAUGCAUUAAAGGUGCUUCAAGUCCUUUCCUUCCAAGAAGUGUCUGAAUUGUUUUGUCCACUCUAUGCCGAUGCGGACUAGUGUGAGCCUUUUGACACCAACGCACUCAAAUCUAAGCAGGAUAAUUUGCUUGACUUCCACGGUGCCAUUGAUGUGACUUUACGGGACCAACAAGUGGGAGGAAACGCAUGGUUUAAUUGAAGCAAGACAAGCUCGCGACACAUCAUCCCGCCAUUGAUGGGCUGCAGGCCUGUAGCCUGCAAUUAUGAGGGGGGAAAAUAACUAAAGAGGCGCGGAUGCUGCAGCGAGUCUCCUGGCAACCUCUGAAGUCUCCAUCUGCAUACCAAUAGCUCCAUACCUGCAUCUUGUAAACACCACGGAAAUGCCAAGAGACCCCUGGCCCUUUCUAUGCACCUCCGCAGGACUAACGACGCUCGUAUGGUUGUUAUAACCCCCUUCCUCCUCCUCCUCCUCACUCGGCACCUACCUGGAAGUCAGACCGCGGCGGCUCAUGAUAAUGCGCUUAAUUGUCUCCAAUCCGAUCAACAGAUGACAGCGCGCCCUGUUGUCCUCCCGCUGCAGCUUCUGCACCGAUCAUCAAUGCCACACGGUCGGCGGAAACAUGCUCCUAACUCCAGCAUUAGGUCCCCAGCACGGGCGCACCAUUUGUUGCUCGGUAUAUGGGUUACAUAGGCUGCCCAAAUGUCUCCCGACUGCAAGCGUCAUCAACGCAAGGCGGUGUCACAACACCCCCACCCACCUCCUCACGCAGCCAAGAAAAUACAGUAACCUGCAGGCUCCCUGGAAAGCACUGCAGCUGAUUUCCACUUGUCAUUUUAUUGGAUGUUUUUAGCCCAAACCAUCCGCAGUCAUUGUGAUUGAACAGAUGGUGCAGGCUGAGCGGUUCAUGUGUGGACAUUUACUGCAGCCUGGAGUCAAGAAAACGCCGCAGAGGACUUGCCAAAAUUAUGUUGGGAAAUAAGACUGUCAUCGAGGCCACUUUGACCUUAUUUCUCCAGUGAUGUAGAGAGAGAGACUGUAAUUGGAAAAUAAAAUCAAACACACGCAAACCUAAUGUUCAACAGAGGGGGGAAACAACACUGGAGCCCGACAUUCACUGUCACUGUUGUAGUUUGUUAAUGUGCCAAUUAGUAACACCUGACUUAAACACCCGCCCACCCACUUUGAGCAUUUAAAUUUACUACAUAAGCAAGUAAUAAACUGAAAUAAAUCUUA